rnacentral:lncRNA from 1 species
GUGUGAUUUAGGCAUUUAGCUUAAAAUGUUAUUGGAUUCGCUACUGCUGCUAUUGCCCAUCGUAGUCCUAUCAUGUUAAGGGCAUUUUGAUCACUUUCAAGUGUUAAAAUUCAUUGAAGAAGGCAUCAAGACUGAGUGUAUUCCCAACAUUGACAAAAAGGACAAUCAGCCUAAUUUCUGAAAUCGAAUUUGGACUAUUUCACAGAAUUUCAGUAUCUGGUAUUAAGAUGGGCGAAAAAUUGGUAGACUUUCAUUUGUGUCGUAUCUAAUAAAUAAUAAUUUUGUUGAUUCUAAAACUUCAAGCAUUUAUUUGUUUUUGACUUGACAUAAAUGGCCAACCUACCAAGUACCAACUAUAGAUGUAACAAAUUUGCUGCUUUCACUAAUUUUUUAGUGUUUGAUUUUUCUAAUACAUUGCUAUCUAACUCUUGGGGAUUUUUUGUUGAAUUGUUGAUUUUUUUAAUCAAUUGUAAUUGAAAAUUAAAUUAGGACAUUUUGCAGAUUAUGGAACAAUUUUUUCAACCGAAACGAAAGUCUAUACCUAGUUCUCCUAGUUCUAGUUGUACUUCUAGUCCCGCCACAGCUUCUAGCCAAGCACUCAAGUUGUUAAACAGCACAAAGAAGUCUCGGACUCAAUUCAAUGUGGAUGAUCUUGUAUCUAAUCUAAGAAAAUGCCCCCCGCUCGAGUCAUAUGAUCCUUAUAUCAGAGAUGAUGUUAGGAUGGCAUAUUUGCAAAAAGGUCCUUGUCAACCACAUGGACAUGACUUUCCAAGAAAACGGAUAGGAAAUGAUAAUAGGUCUCUGCAAAAAGAAUGGUUUUCUGAAUUUUAUUGGUUGGAGUACAGUAUAGAAAAUGAUGCGGCUUAUUGUUUGCAUUGCUACUUGUUCAAACUUGAUAGAGGGGGUCAAAGGGGUGGACAUAUAUUCACUAAGAUCGGCUUUAGGGAUCGGAAGCACAAAAGUACAUUGAAAGAUCAUGUCGGGCUCGUUGAUAGUGCUCAUAAUCAAGUUUUUGCAAAGUGUACCAAUUUGAUAAAUCAAAAGCAAAGUAUCUCCCAUGUUAUUUCUAGCCAAAGUAGUAGUCAACAAAAAAAUUAUAGGACAAGGUUGACUGCGGUGCUAGACUGUACUAGAUUCCUCUUGAUGCAAGGAUUGUCAUCUUGUGGUCAUGAUGAAUCGAAAGAGUCUCUUAAUAAAGGAAAUCUAAUUGAGCUACUAAAUUGAUAUGCAGCUCGUCGUAAGAAAAUUAAUGAAGUACUAUUUAGUAAUGCUCCUGGAAAUUACCAAAUGACUUCACCAAGCAUCCAUAAGGAUUUGGUUAAUUGUUGUGCUGUAGAGACGACAAGGUCUAUGAUCAAUGAGAUAGGUGAUUCUUUGUUUUCAAUUUUGGUUGAUGAGUCUCGUGAUAAUUCUAUAAAAGAACAAAUGGCAAUUGUUUUGAGAUUUGUUGACAAAAGUAGACAAGUGAAAGAGCGUUUGUUGGGCAUUUGCCACAUGGCUGAUACUUGUGCCCAAUCACUCAAGGAUGCCAUUGAUGUAAUCUUUUCUACACAUGGGUUGAGCAUAUCUAGUCUGAGAGGCCAAGAUUACAAUGGAGCAAGUAAUAUGUCAGGUGAGUUCAAUGACUUAAAAGCUUUAAUUUUAAGAUAGAACCCAUGUGCUAUGUAUGUUCGUUCCUUUGCUCACCAACUUCAGUUGACAGUUGUUUCUAUGGCACAUAGGAAUGUUAUGCUUAGUGAUUUAUUUAACAUGCUUGCUGUUAUUAGUGAAUUUGGUUGGUGCAUCAUGUAAACGUGUAGAUGCUCUUCGAACAAGUUAUCAUUCUGAAAUUCUGGAGAGGCUUAAUAUUGAGGAACUUUCUGGUGGAACUGGUCAGUUUCAAGAAAUGAGUUUGGCACGCCCAAGUGAUAUUAGAUGGAGCUCACAUCUAAAGACAGUUACUCGCUUUAUUAGUAUGUUUAAUGCGAUCAUAGAUGUUCUUGAAAAUAUAUCAGAAGACAACAUAAGUUUAGAGCAAAAAUCAAUGGCCGUAAGACAGAUGGACACUAUACAAGAUUUUCAAUUUGUGUUCAGUCUCCAUUUUAUGUUUGAAAUUCUUACAAUUACAGACGACUUUUCACAAGCUUUACAGAAAAAGGAUCAGGAUAUUCAGAAUGUUAUGAGAUUAUUGAAGUUGUGUAAGUACGCAUUGAAGAACAUGAGAGACAAUGGUUGGAAUACUUUGUUAAGUAAGGUAAUUGAGUUUUGUGUUGAUAGACAUAUUUCAAUGCGCAAUAUGGAUGAUAUUGUAGUAUUGAAAGGUCGACCUAGGCGUUCAACUCAGCAGAUGACUUAUUAUCAAUGCUUUUAUGUUGAUUUGUAUUGUUAUGUAAUACAUUCAAUCUUGCAAGAGUUGAAUGAUCAUUUUCCAGAAACAACUACUGAGCUUUUCACUUGCAUUUCGUGUUUAAGUUCAAGAGAUUCAUUUGCAGGUUUUGAUGUGUGUAAAUUGGUAUGACUUGUUCAGUUAUAUAUUAUGAAUUUCAAUAGUGAAGAUGUUUUAUUACUUAGACCUCAACUUGACAAAUUUCUUAUGCUCGUGAGAAUGGAUGAAGUUUUCUUCAAUCUCAAAAGCAUAUCUUAUAUAGCUCAAAAGUUGGUUGAAACUGGAAGUUCUUGUUAUUUUUCAUUGGUUUGCAGGCUGAUCACAUUGGUUUUGAUAUUACAUGUGACAACUGCAAGUGUUGAAAAGGUAUUCUCUGCUAUGAAUCUAAUCAAGAAUGAUCUGCGCAACAAAAUGGGAGAUGAAUUGUUGAAUGACAAUUUGGUGGUUUACAUGAAGAAAGAUCUUUUUAUGAAACUUGAGAAUGAGAAAAUAUUGCAACGUUUUCAAAAUAUAGGACCUCGUAGAAUUCAGUUGUCUAAACUUACAAUUACAGAGUAAGGUUGUAUUGUAUUUUUUUUAGCAUUUUGGAUUGUAUAGAACUAUAUUUUCAUAUGUAUAUAAUUUCUAGAUUUUAGUGC